AUUGAACGCUGGCGGCAUGCUUUACACAUGCAAGUCGAACGGCAGCGCGGGCUUCGGCCUGGCGGCGAGUGGCGAACGGGUGAGUAAUGCAUCGGAACGUGCCCAGUAGUGGGGGAUAGCCCGGCGAAAGCCGGAUUAAUACCGCAUACGACCUGAGGGUGAAAGCGGGGGACCGAAAGGCCUCGCGCUAUUGGAGCGGCCGAUGUCGGAUUAGCUAGUUGGUGGGGUAAAGGCUUACCAAGGCGACGAUCCGUAGCUGGUCUGAGAGGACGACCAGCCACACUGGGACUGAGACACGGCCCAGACUCCUACGGGAGGCAGCAGUGGGGAAUUUUGGACAAUGGGGGCAACCCUGAUCCAGCCGUGCCGCGUGCGGGAAGAAGGCCUUCGGGUUGUAAACCGCUUUUGUUCGGGAAGAAAUCCUCUGGGCUAAUACCCCGGGGGGAUGACGGUACCGGAAGAAUAAGCACCGGCUAACUACGUG
rnacentral:rRNA from 1 species